rnacentral:pre_miRNA from 1 species
CUAGUACUCCCUUCGUCCGGAAAUAUUUAUCAUCAAAAUAAAUAAAAAAGAUGUAUCUAGAUAUAUUUUAGUUUUAGAUACAUUCUUUUUUGUCCAUUUUAAUGACAAGUAUUUUCGGACGGAGGGAGUAUCAA